GAUGAACGCUGGCGGCGUGCCUCAAACAUGCAAGUCGAGCGGGGCUAUGUAAUAUCGCAAGGUAGAACAUAGCCUAGCGGCGAACGGGUGAGUAACACGUGGGUAACCUGCCUGGAAGACAGGGAUAACGAUUCGAAAGGGUCGCUAAUACCUGAUAAUAUCCUUUCAUCGCAUGGUGAUAGGAAGAAAGGGGAAACCCGCUUUCAGAUGGGCCCGCGUCCCAUCAGCUAGUUGGUAAGGUAAAGGCUUACCAAGGCGACGACGGGUAGCCGGUCUGAGAGGAUGUACGGCCACACUGGGACUGAGAUACGGCCCAGACUCCUACGGGAGGCAGCAGUUGGGAAUCUUAGGCAAUGGACGAAAGUCUGACCUAGCGACGCCGCGUGAGGGAAGAAGGCCUUCGGGUCGUAAACCUCUGUCAUGGGGAAGAAGGAAGUGACGGUACCCAACGAGGAAGCCCCUCGCUAACUACGUG
rnacentral:rRNA from 1 species